CCUGUGGCCGUUUUUGGGGUCCCCGUGUCCCUCAUGGGGGUCCCAUGUCCAUUUCUGGGGUCCCCGUGUCCCUCCCGGGGGUCCCCUUGUCUAUUUUUGGGGUCCCCGUGUCCAUGUUUGGGGUCCCAUGUCUGUCCUGGGCGUCCCCGUGUCCCUCCCGGGAGUCCCACGUCCAUUUUUGAGGUCCCCGUGUCAAUUUUGGGGUCCCCCUCUCUGUCCCGGGGGUCCCCGUGUCCAUUUUGAGGUCCCCAUGUCUGUCUUGAGGGUCCCUGUGUCCAUUUUUGGGGUCCCCACGUCCAUUUUGGUGUCCCAUCUCUGUCCCAGGGGUCCCCGUGUCUGUCCUGAGGGUCCCCGUGUCCAUUUUUGGGGUCCCCGUGUCAAUUUUUGGGGUCCCCAUGUCCAGUUUUGGGGUCCCUGUGUCCGUCCCGGGGAUCCCCAUGUCCGUCUCUCAGCGCUGUGCCUCAGUUUCCCCAUCUGCACAAGGGAUCGGUGCUGUGACACCCCCUCCCUCACUCAGGGCCCCGGGAGGGGGGAAAUGUCCCCCCACCCCAUAACCACAAGUGCCCUUACGGACUCCCCCGGAUUUUGGGGGUGUUGGAUGAAGCAAAUAAAGAACUGAACCCCAAAUUGCUGCCUGUGCCUGGGGAGGCUGGGACGGAAUUUGGGGUGGGUGUCGCAGUGUCCUCCACUUACCCUCCUGGCUGUAUGGGCUGGGGGAGUCUGGUACCCCCUAAUCUUGGGUGUGGGGAGGUUUCUGCUCUGUUCCCAGGCUUGGGGAGGGGGUGACCCCGCUGUACCCCCAGAGCCGCCCCCAUUUCUGAGCCCCUCCAUGCUCGUCCGCCCCAUUCCCCUCACAGCGCAGACCACGCCCCUUCCAGAGGCCGCGCCCCUUCCCCCGCCCCGCGCUCUCGCGCUGCUCUCCGGGAGUUGUAGUCCCAACAUCCCUCACCCCCCAGUACCUCGUAACCCGGUGCCUCCAUUUCCCAGCGCUCCCUGCGCAGCGCCCGCACAGACCGCUGGGAGUUGUAGUCCAGACGCUUAGUGCACCCUGCGGUUGGCACG
rnacentral:lncRNA from 1 species